rnacentral:lncRNA from 1 species
GUUACCGCACUUAGGCAAAAUUAACGGGGAGAUUUGGAUGGCGAAACUCUGCGUGGGUUAGCUGCUGUGGUGCGAGUCUAUUUUGGAAUCUGAACUGCAUCUUCUUCGUGGAUGUUAAUGUUUUAGAAUUCAGGUCCUACCAAAAAAGCUCUAGAUCUAUAAUUUUGCAGAUUUCAGGCAUCAUGCUGCUGACAAGGGAAGAAUUUAGCGAUUUUCACGAGUUGCCUGGCAAGUGCAAACCAGGCAUGAAGGUUUUCCUUUACAUAUUCAUACCAAUUUGUAUAUAUUUCGUGUUGGGCUGUUUGAAAGACACCUCAGAGUAUUCGGCAGGUUGGAUAUUUGCCCUCAAAGGCAUAGCUUUGGCGUGUCGAUUCUUCUUGCUCAUGAUGGCCUUUCUGGUGGUACGAAGAACGUACAUUAUCGCGAGGAGACCACGAAUACAGAACAAUCGUCUAAUGAACUUCUACGCCGUAAAUGGACCAAUUGUGGCACGUUUCGAAGACUAGGCUUUGGUUGGUGUUAACAUUGUGGAGGCUGAAGCUUGAAGACUUAGUCGAUCUUCUCGGGAAUGUUUAUGCCUUUAUGGUUUGAUUUCCUGCCGUAUUUUAGUACUUGACGAAUAUAGCUGGCAGAGGACCAGCUUUCGAUUCGAACAUUUGGUUGCCGGAGAGCACACUAUUGAAAUUUUUAUUGAAAGAAUGAAAUAUAGAUUUUAAUGUCCUGCCUAAAUCAAUUUCCUUGACCUGACGUCAGCUUCCAGACGUCAAUUCUGCCAGAGUUGAUUCAAGAGUUAUUUGCUGAAGUCAUGAUCGAGAUGACUAGUGUGAACUAGCUCUAUUGAUGUCACACGGCCAGUCUACUUUCUGCGCCAGCCAGUUACAAUUAAACCGAAGUUUAUUUGCCUAUGAAUUAGGCUGCUGUGAACGAUGUGUACCAACAAAUCAUGCUAACUUUUAGCGGUGUAACCCUUCCAUACCUACAGAUUAGAACUGCCAUUUUCUUCCACGAGAUAUGUAAAAUUGAAACUUUUAUAGUGUAGCAUAGGGACUGUAUCCUGUAUCAAGCCCCCUAUUUUUUGCCGAGUGAUCGAAGCCAUAGCGUGAGUAUUAGGGUCAGUACUAUAUGUUGAUAAUUGACAAUUCUCUUGUCGAUUUCAACAUGCCAAAGAUGAUGGAUUCGAAGAAUAAUGAUACAGGAGGUCGUGAAGGAAUAUGUUCUUGUACAAAAUAAUAAAGUUUAUUAUUGUUGGGGUUU